AUUGAACGCUGGCGGCAGGCCUAACACAUGCAAGUCGAACGAGUGGCGGACGGGUGAGUAAUGUCUGGGAAACUGCCUGAUGGAGGGGGCUAACUACUGGAAACGGUAGCUAAUACCGCAUACCAUCAGAUGUGCCCAUAUGGGAUUAGCUUGAUGGUGGGGUAACGGCUCACCAAGGCGACGAUCCCUAGCUGUUCUGAGAGGAUGACCAGCCACACUGGAAACGAGACGCGGUCCAGACUCAUACGUGAGUCAGCAGUGGGGAAUAUUGCACCAUGGGCGCAAGCCUGAUGUAGCCAUGCCGCGUGUAUGAAGAAGGCCUUCGGGUUGUAAAGUACUUUAAGCGGGGAGGCGUUACCCACAGAAGAAGCACCGGCUAACUCCGUGCCAGCAGCCGCGGUAAUAC
rnacentral:rRNA from 1 species